rnacentral:rRNA from 1 species
CUCAGUAAAUCAGUGAUAGUCUGUUCGACUAUUGCAGAUUGGAUAACCGUGGGAAAUCUAGAGCUAAUACAUGGUGAAAAGCGCGGCGCCCGUGCUCCGCGCUGGCAUUUAUUAGACAAAACCAAAGGCGACGGCACGCUGCGUGCCGCCUGCAGGGUGAAUCUAGAUAACUGAGUCAAUCGCACGGCCCAGUGCCGGCGAUGUGUCGAUUGAAUUUCUGCCCUAUCAACUUGUUGGUAAGGUAGUGGCUUACCAAGGUUACCACGGGUAACGGGGAAUCAGGGUUCGAUUCCGGAGAGGGAGCCUGAGAAACGGCUACCACAUCCAAGGAAGGCAGCAGGCGCGUAAAUUACCCAAUCCAGACAAUGGGAGGUGGCAACCAGAAGUACCGAGUAGUGGGCGAUGCCCACUCAUCUCGGAAUGAGCGUAGAGUAAAAAGUUUGUCGAGAAACCACUGGAGGGCAAGUCUGGUGCCAGCAGCCGCGGUAAUUCCAGCUCCAGUAGCGUGUUGUAAAGUUGUUGCGUUUAAAACGCUCGUAGUUGAAUCAUGCGGUGCUGCGCGGUUGAUGUGUGGCCGUGCAGACACCCCAUCCGCUGUGGUGGUGCCAAAGAUUCGGAUCCGCGGUGCCGCUGCAGUGGAGUCUGUGUGGUGCAUGUCGAUUGCCGCGCGGCACUAGUUGCGUGUGGGGACGGUGACUGGCCUUGGGUGCGUCGGUCACCGCGACCCGCAGAGUGUGCCUUGAAUAAAUCAGAGUGCUCAAAGCAGGCCCGUGCCUGAAUGAUACAGCAUGGAACGAACAAACGUGUUUGUGAGUGUGUGGUGCAUGUUUUAAGCGUCAUCGUACGCUCAUCUCACCAACCACCGUGUACGGAUGUUGGUAGCCGUAUCGGGGUGAUGAUUAAAACGAGCGGUUGGGGGCAUCAGUAUUUGGUGGCGAGAGGUGAAAUUCUUAGACCCACCAAGGACUAACAACGGCGAAAGCAUUUGCCAAGACCGUCUCGAUUGAUCAAGAACGAAAGUGAGAGGUUCGAAGACGAUCAGAUACCGUCCUAGUUCUCACCGUAAACUAUGCCGACCCGUGAUCGGCGCUGAGCGAAUGUCGUGCUCACCGUCGGUCGCCCUGGGAAACCUGAAGUGUUCGGGUUACGGGGAGAGUAUGGUCGCAAGGCUGAAACUUAAAGGAAUUGACGGAAGGGCACCACCAGGGGUGGAGCCUGCGGCUUAAUUUGACUCAACACGGGGAAACUUACCCGUUUACGGCGUGAGCAUGAUGGACUGAAUAGCGUUCAUUCCUGAUUUCACGGUUGGUGGUGCAUGGCCGCUUUUAGUUCGUGAGGUGACUUGUCAGGCUUAUUCCGGUAACAGAACGAGAACCGCAAUUUCCAUUUACAACGC